CUAUGCCUACGGGACGCAGCAGUGGGGAAUAUUGCACAAUGGGGGAAACCCUGAUGCAGCGACGCCGCGUGAAGGAAGAAGUAUUUCGGUAUGUAAACUUCUAUCAGCAGGGAAGAAAAUGACGGUACCCGACUAAGAAGCCCCGGCUAACUACGUGCCAGCAGCCGCGGUAAUACGUAGGGGGCAAGCGUUAUCCGGAUUUACUGGGUGUAAAGGGAGCGUAGGCGGUUUAGCAAGUCAGAAGUGAAAGCCCGGGGCUCACCUCCGGGACUGCUUUUGAAACUGUUGCACUAGAUUGC
rnacentral:rRNA from 1 species